UGUAGCAGUUGACAUGGCCAUGGUGUAUCUUCACAGCAUGAAACCCUAAGACAGAUGUGUCUCUGGGAGCUAUAAGGAUGAGAAGGCAAAAAAGCUUAUAUGAGCCAGAGGUGAUGGAAGACUCCAAGGAAAUGGUGUUCUGCAGACAUCAUAGGACUGGUACACCAUAUGAACUCCCAAAGACUGUAGCAGCACACAAAGGGUCUACACAAAUUCAAGGCAGAUGGUGUUCCUGCACUGAGAGGAAAAAGUGAACAUGGGCUCCUACCCCUAAUCAAGAAGCUAUGUGCAAUUGGUACAUUCUUGCAAAUAAAAUAAUUAGUUUUGGCA